GGCUCACGAGCCCAACCUGCCCGGGUUUAUUGUUCGGAGUUUGCUCUCCUAGGUGAACUGCUUUCGCUAACGACCUCCACCUGCCCGGGUUUGUAAUCGGAGUUUGCUCUCCUAGGUGAACUGCUUUCGCUAACGACCUCCACCUGCCCGGUUUUGUAAUCGGAGUUUGCUCUCCUAGGUGAACUGCUUUCGCUAACGACCUCCACCUGCCCGGGUUUGUAAUCGGAGUUUGCUCUCCUAGGUGAACUGCUCACGCUAACGACCUCCACCUGCCCGGGUUUGUAAUCGGAGUUUGCUCUCCUAGAUGAACUGCUUUCGCUAACGACCUCCACCUGCCCGGGUUUAUUGUUCGGAGUUUGCUCUCCUAGGUGUAUUACCUAUGACGGCUCACGAGCCCAACCUGCCCGGGUUUAUUGUUUGGAGUUUGCUCUCCUAGGUGUAUUACCUAUGACGGUUCACGAGCCCAACCUGCCCGGGUUUAUUGUUCGGAGUUUGCUCUCCUAGGUGUAUUACCUAUGACGGUUCACGAGCCCAACCUGCCCGGGUUUAUUGUUCGGAGUUUGC